GGCUCCAGGGGCUGUCACCCGGCUCCGGGGGCUGUCACCCGCACGGGGAGGGGCUCUGGGGCUGUCACCUGGCUCCAGGGGAUGUCACCCGGCUCCGGGGGCUGUCACCCACACGGGGAGCAGCUCCAGGGGCUGUCACCCGGCUCUGGGGGCUGUCACCCGGCUCCGGGGGCUGUCACCCGGCUCCGGGGGCUGUCACCCGCAUGGGGAGCGGCUCCAGGGGCUGUCACCUGGCUCCAGGGGCUGUCACCUGGCUCCAGGGGCUGUCACCCAGCUCCAGGGGCUGUCACCCAGCUCCAGGGGCUGUCACCCGGCUCCAGGGGCUGUCACCCGGCUCCAGGGAGCGGCCCCAGGGAUGGCACCCAGCUCCGGGGGCUGUCACCCGGCUCCAGGGGCUGUCACCUGCACAGGGACUGUCACCCGCACGGGGAGGGGCUCUGGGGCUGUCACCUGGCUCCAGGGGCUGUCACCCGGCUCCGGGGGCUGUCACCCACACGGGGAGCAGCUCCAGGGGAUGUCACCCCGCCCAGGGAUGGCACCCACGCCGCUCUGGGGACUGCAGGACACGGAGGGGCUGGCACAGCUCGGCAAUGGCACACGGGAUUGGGAUGGCGGGGUUUGGGAUGGGGACAGGCUCGUUUCAUCCCAGUCUGUGCCCUGGGAUUCACUGGGAAUUCGGGAACUGGAUCAGUGGGAAAUUGGGAAUUGGAUCAGUUCCCAUCUCAUCCCAGUUUGUGCCCUGGGAUUCAGUGGGAUUCACUUGGGAUUCAGUGGGAAUUCGGGAACUGGGUCAGUGGGAAUUUGGAUCAGUUCCCAUCUCACCCCAGUCUGUGCCUUGGGAUUCACUGGGAAUUCAGGAACUGGAUCAGUGGGAAUUCAGGAACUGGAUCAGUUCCCAUCCCAUCCCAAUCCAUGCAGCUCUGAGUGGUGCUGUGUGAGGACAGUGUCCACCUUCCCAACAGGGAACACACGGAAUUGCUUUGUUUGGUUUGGUUUUUUCCACUUGGACAUGAUGGGAAUGAAGAUCCAAAGUUACAACAACAGGGAAAUGCUCAUUCAGGAAUGGAAACUCUCAGCCAAGGCAGAGGAUUCCCAAAAUUCCUGAACACAACAACAGCAUUUCCAUGUGCAACACCCUUCACCCCAGUGCUGCAGGGACAGGAGAAACCAUCAGCAGGGAACUGGGAAUGGGGCAGGGAACUGGAGCAGGGAACUGGGAAUGGG
rnacentral:lncRNA from 1 species